rnacentral:rRNA from 1 species
AACGCUAGCUACAGGCUUAACACAUGCAAGUCGAGGGGCAGCACUAGGUAGCAAUACUGAGGUGGCGACCGGCGCACGGGUGCGUAACGCGUAUCCAACCUUCCCGUUACUCUUGGAUAGCCUUCCGAAAGGGAGAUUAAUACAAGAUGGUAUUCAAAUUCCGUAUGUUAUUUGAAUUAAAGAUUUAUCGGUAACGGAUGGGGAUGCGUGACAUUAGGUAGAUGGCGGGGUAACGGCCCACCAUGCCUACGAUGUCUAGGGGUUCUGAGAGGAAGGUCCCCCACACUGGAACUGAGACACGGUCCAGACUCCUACGGGAGGCAGCAGUGAGGAAUAUUGGUCAAUGGUCGGAAGACUGAACCAGCCAAGUAGCGUGAAGGAUGAAGGUUCUAUGGAUUGUAAACUUCUUUUAUACGGGAAUAAAACCUCCCACGUGUGGGAGCUUGUAUGUACCGUAUGAAUAAGCAUCGGCUAACUCCGUGCCAGCAGCCGCGGUAAUACGGAGGAUGCGAGCGUUAUCCGGAUUUAUUGGGUUUAAAGGGAGCGUAGACGGGAGAUUAAGUCAGUUGUGAAAGGCUGCGGCUCAACCGCAGCACUGCAGUUGAUACUGGUUUCCUUGAGUGCGGUUGAGGUGUAUGGAAUUCGUGGUGUAGCGGUGAAAUGCUUAGAUAUCACGAAGAACUCCGAUUG